rnacentral:rRNA from 1 species
GAUGCUAAUACCGGAUAACAACACUAGACGCAUGUCUAGAGUUUAAAAGAUGGUUCUGCUAUCACUCUUGGAUGGACCUGCGGUGCAUUAGCUAGUUGGUAAGGCAACGGCUUACCAAGGCAAUGAUGCAUAGCCGAGUUGAGAGACUGAUCGGCCACAUUGGGACUGAGACACGGCCCAAACUCCUACGGGAGGCAGCAGGG